UACGAAGGGGGCUAGCGUUGUUCGGAUUUACUGGGCGUAAAGCGCACGUAGGCGGAUUGUUAAGUGAGAGGUGAAAUCCCGGAGCUCAACUCCGGAACUGCCUUUCAUACUGGCAAUCUAGAGUCCGGAAGAGGUGAGUGGAACUCCUAGUGUAGAGGUGGAAUUCGUAGAUAUUAGGAAGAACACCAGUGGCGAAGGCGGCUCACUGGUCCGGUACUCGACGCUGAGGUGCGGAAAGCGUGGGGAGCAAAGCAGGG
rnacentral:rRNA from 1 species